rnacentral:rRNA from 1 species
CCUACGGGGUGCACCAGUAGGGAAUCUUCGGCAAUGGACGAAAGUCUGACCGAGCAACGCCGCGUGAGUGAAGAAGGUUUUCGGAUCGUAAAACUCUGUUGUUAGAGAAGAACAAGUAGGAGAGUAACUGCUCUUACCUUGACGGUAUCUAACCAGAAAGCCACGGCUAACUACGUGCCAGCAGCCGCGGUAAUACGUAGGUGGCAAGCGUUGUCCGGAUUUAUUGGGCGUAAAGCGAGCGCAGGCGGUCUUUUAAGUCUGAUGUGAAAGCCCUCGGCUCAACCGAGGAAGGUCAUUGGAAACUGGAGGACUUGAGUGCAGAAGAGGAGAGUGGAAUUCCAUGUGUAGCGGUGAAAUGCGUAGAUAUAUGGAGGAACACCAGUGGCGAAGGCGACUCUCUGGUCCGUAUCUGACGCCGAGGCUCGAAAGCGUGGGGAGCAAACAGGAUUAGAUACCCUGGUAGUC